ACUCAAAUGAAUUGACGGGGGCUCACACAAGCGGUGGAGCAUGUGGUUCAAUUCGAAGCAACGCGCAAAACCUUACCUGGGUUUGACAUGCACGGAUUAGCCCGUGGAAACAUGGGUCACGCCCGAAAGGGUGGAACGUGCACAGGUGCUGCAUGGCUGUCGUCAGCUCGUGUCGUGAGAUGUCGGGUUAAGUCCCUUAACGAGCGAAACCCUUGCCGUUAGUUGCCAACGGGUCAUGCCGGGGACUCUAGCGGGACUGCCGUGGUUAACACGGAGGAAGGUGGGGAUGACGUCAAGUCCUCAUGGCCUUUAUGCCCAGGGCAACACACGUGCUACAAUGGUCGGUACAAAGCGACGCGAAACCGAAAGGCGGAGCAAACCGCAAAAAGCCGACCUCAGUACAGAUUGUGGGCUGCAAUUCGCCCGCAUGAAGUUGGAAUCGCUAGUAAUCGCACAUCAGCAGGGGUGCGGUGAAUAUGUUCCUGAGCCUUGUACACACCGCCCGU
rnacentral:rRNA from 1 species